rnacentral:rRNA from 1 species
GCUACGGGAGGCUGCAGUGGGGAAUAUUGGGCAAUGGGCGCAAGCCUGACCCAGCAACGCCGCGUGAAGGAAGAAGGCUUUCGGGUUGUAAACUUCUUUUGUCAGGGAAGAGUAGAAGACGGUACCUGACGAAUAAGCCACGGCUAACUACGUGCCAGCAGCCGCGGUAAUACGUAGGUGGCAAGCGUUGUCCGGAUUUACUGGGUGUAAAGGGCGUGUAGCCGGGUUGACAAGUCUGAUGUGAAAUCCUUCGGCGUAACCGCAGAACUGCAUUUGAAACUGGUGAUCUUGAGUACUGGAGAGGCAGACGGAAUUCCUAGUGUAGCGGUGAAAUGCGUAGAUAUUAGGAGGAACACCAGUGGCGAAGGCGGUCUGCUGGACAGCAACUGACGGUGAGGCGCGAAAGCGUGGGGAGCAAACAGGAUUAGAUACCCGUGUAGUC